rfam:Stereum hirsutum FP-91666 SS1 unplaced genomic scaffold STEHIscaffold_18, whole genome shotgun sequence.
GGACCUUUAGCUCAAUCGGUAGAGCUUUGUACUUAUGAGGCUGUCCUAACAAUGCAUCGUUCAUGCAAGGGUCCCGAGUUCGAUUCUCGGAAGGUCCA